UACGGGGGGAGCAAGCGUUGUUCGGAUUUACUGGGCGUAAAGGGCGCGUAGGCGGCCACCGCAAGUCAAUUGUGAAAUCUCCGGGCUUAACUCGGAAAGGUCAACUGAUACUGCGGGGCUAGAGUGCGGAAGAGGCUCGCGGAAUUCCCAGUGUAGAGGUGAAAUUCGUAGAUAUUGGGAAGAACACCGGUGGCGAAGGCGGCGAGCUGGUCCAUUACUGACGCUGAGGCGCGACAGCGUGGGGAGCAAACAGG
rnacentral:rRNA from 1 species